UCGAAACCUGCCCAGCAGAGCGACCCGUGAACAUGUUCAACCUCGUGGGUGUCGGGGCGUCGCUCGGUGCCUCGUGUGCCGGCCCGUCCCUAUCCCAAGCCGGGGAGCGCUCACCCGUGGGCCGUUUCCCGGCAAAACAACGAACCCCGGCGCGUAAUGCGUCAAGGAAUACAAACUCUAUGUGUGUGCCCUCCCGCUGCCCGGUCAGCCGGGCGUUGGAGCGGUGCCAUGUCUUAACAAUA
rnacentral:rRNA from 1 species